rnacentral:rRNA from 1 species
GACGUAGGGGGCAAGCGUUGUUCGGAAUUAUUGGGCGUAAAGCGUGCGCAGGCGGUCUGUUAAGACCGAUGUGAAAUCCCCGGGCUUAACCUGGGAACUGCAUUGGUGACUGGCAGGCUUUGAGUGUGGCAGAGGGAGGUAGAAUUCCACGUGUAGCAGUGAAAUGCGUAGAGAUGUGGAGGAAUACCGAUGGCGAAGGCAGCCUCCUGGGCCAACACUGACGCUCAUGCACGAAAGCGUGGGGAGCAAACAGG